ensembl:snRNA U6 U6 spliceosomal RNA
GUACUUGCUUUGGGAGCACAUAUACUAAAAUUUGAACGAUACAGAGAAGAUUAGCAUGGUUCCUGCACAAGGAUGACACACAAAUUUUUGAAGUGUUCCAUAUUUUU